AAACAUGAUAGCUCAUGCCUUUCAAAGUAGCUGCUUUGAAGAGAGUGUUUAAACCAACGUUUGCACAUUCCAUUAUCACCAGCGCUGUUACUGAUGUGGAGAUUCGAAGAAGUGAGUUUUUUUAACACUAUAUGUAAAGAUGAGAGAAACAGAGUUUGUUCUGUUUUUUUUUUCUUUGUUUUUGGGGAAAAGAAGAAGAAAAGAAGGUGAGUGGGUGAAAGUUAGAUUCAGCAAUUGUAUUGUGUAGUCACACACACUUGAGAAAGAUGUGAAGCGGACAAAAAAAAAAUUGGCCAUGUAACAUGCU